rnacentral:rRNA from 1 species
UACGUAGGGUGCAGGCGUUAAUCGGAAUUACUGGGCGUAAAGGGGGCGCAGGCGGUCUUUUAAGUCAGAUGUGAAAUCCCCGGGCUUAACCUGGGAACUGCGUUUGAAACUGGAAGGCUUGAGUGUGGCAGAGGGGGGUGGAAUUCCACGUGUAGCAGUGAAAUGCGUAGAGAUGUGGAGGAACACCGAUGGCGAAGGCAGCCCCCUGGGCUAACACUGACGCUCAUGCACGAAAGCGUGGGGAGCAAACAGG